GAUGAACGCUGGCGGCGUGCCUAAUACAUGCAAGUCGAGCGAACGGACGAGAAGCUUGCUUCUCUGAUGUUAGCGGCGGACGGGUGAGUAACACGUGGAUAACCUACCUAUAAGACUGGGAUAACUUCGGGAAACCGGAGCUAAUACCGGAUAAUAUUUUGAACCGCAUGGUUCAAAAGUGAAAGACGGUCUUGCUGUCACUUAUAGAUGGAUCCGCGCUGCAUUAGCUAGUUGGUAAGGUAACGGCUUACCAAGGCAACGAUGCAUAGCCGACCUGAAAGGGUGAUCGGCCACACUGGAACUGAGACACGGUCCAGACUCCUACGGGAGGCAGCAGUAGGGAAUCUUCCGCAAUGGGCGGAAGCCUGACGGAGCAACGCCGCGUGAGUGAUGAAGGUCUUCGGAUCGUAAAACUCUGUUAUUAGGGAAGAACAUAUGUGUAAGUAACUGUGCACAUCUUGACGGUACCUAAUCAGAAAGCCACGGCUAACUACGUG
rnacentral:rRNA from 1 species